rnacentral:lncRNA from 1 species
UUCUUUUCCGGUAGCUCAUCCUUAAAUAACUCCGGGGUUAAGCGUGCUUGGCCCGGAGCAAUUUCGGGAUGGGUGACCGACCGGGAAGUUCUUCCCGGGUGCGCACGAGUGAGGACAAAGUGCGCAGAAAAGACUUGUGUUGGUCUGUGAGGGAAUUCUUGAUAUUCUAGAGAGCUGCCAGGUGUAAGCGGGCCCGGGCCCGGGGGGGUGGGACGCCACAGUUGGUAUCAGAGUCGACUCUCGCGGUUUCACGGGCGCGUGCGGUCGCAGUUGCGCAGGCAUGGUGUGCAUGGCUGGUGUGGGCCCAGAGUGGUCACACAGCAUGGCACAUGCGCUGGUACUGGACACACGGACGUGGCCAAGAGGGGACGUUCCUGGCUUGGGGUUGACCGACUAGGGCGUCGGUCUUCUAAGUGGGU